GUGCUUGCCUCAGCAGCAUAUGUUCUAAAAGUGUACCAAUGCAGAAAAGAUUAGCGUUGCCACUAUGCAAGGAUGACAUGCAAAUUGGUGAAGCAUUCCAUAUUAUA
ensembl:snRNA U6 U6 spliceosomal RNA